CAGGCCUCCGCUGUCGUUCCCGAGCUCUGCUGAACGCGAGCCGAGCCGUCCUCCGAGCUACCGUUCUCGCACCAGCUCGGCGGCCGGCGGAGGGAAUCCUGCGCUCGUGCGUGGCGGCAACGCGUCCUGCAGUCAGGACACCCUGGCCACCGUGAGCCCGGCCGAGGACGAAGACCAGCGGCCGCUGCCACAGCCCGCAACCCGUCGCUCACGCUGAGCACGCUGUCUCAGGAGGAGGCGUCGGCCGCCGCGGGGCCGACGACCGCGAGCCAGACCGCCGCUGACACCGUGCGCCGAAGCUCAACGCCAGCGUGCUUGGGGGCGGCAGCCUGUCGUCGUCGAACCGAGACACGCCGAGCCCUCCACCGGGAAGCUCGUCGAGGGCGCCCGACCCGCACCUACUGCGCAAGAACCACGACGUCAACACAGUGACCAUCGUGCAGACGACGGACACGUCGCAGGUCAUCAACCAGGACACUGUGAUUGUGUCAGUGUCCGGACACAACGCACGCACGCUGGUGCUGCCCUCGGGACACUCUGAGGUGCAGGUGACUCUCGCGCACGUCUGACACGCGGCCACUCGGCGCCCUUCGCCGCCGCCAGACGCCUCGACGUCGUAUGCCUGCGCCGGCAGGCACUGCGGCUGCCGGCGCCCGCACGUCGCCCAGGACGACAGGCGGCGGCGGCGCCGUGCGAGAGACGGCGACGGCAUGCCGAUAUGCCACGACUUUCUGCAGACUCCUGGCUACUCCUUGUGGAGACUGCAUGAACAGGGCAUCUAAAGACUGUCUCCUUUUGAUCUGCCAGUCAACCUUCGAACAUCCAGAUUCCUGAGCUGACAGCCUUGUGAAUAUGUGCAUAGAGACAGAGAUGAGACCGUGUGCAGAAAACAGACUGUGAAUCAGCCUACACUGUGUUGAAUGUGCGUGUAUAGUCUAUCAUCUGAAAUGUGUGCGUGGACGUAGGUAUUCAUCAGUGCUUAUUCCUGAACGUUUGCUCGUUAUCUAAUGUUGCCAUGUUGCCAGCACACUGCUGGGCCAAUGAUGUGUGAAUGAUUGGUGUUUUCCCAAUGUUUGCUUAUGAACUUCUGAGUGAGAGAGAAGGGUCGCAGUCUACUACAAAUUAGGUUCGAGUUUAGUUUUGCUGCCUUCUUUAGAACAGUCAAGUAUACAGUCGAGCUGACUUGUGACAUAAUAGUAUGGAGAGCUGGGCAAGUUGGUUUGAGGACAUUCUUGGAAACAUUUCGGUGCGCACACAAAAGACGAAAACACAAAAGACAAAACCUUUCGUUUUCGUCUUUUGUGUGCGCGCCGAAAUGUUUCCAAGAAUGACUUGUAACAAGCGUCAUGGUCACACAAGGCACAGCUCAUUAUAAUUUAACAAAGUGUGUGAACAAGCAAGAAUAAGCUCAAGAAACUGAAGAACAUUUAUUGCUUCCCAACCACUGACCUUGUUUCACUUCAGUGCUAACCUGACAAUGAUGGCUUCCAAAUUUUUUGAAGCAGUGACACAAUGCACUCUGCCAUGAUUGCCGUGGCAGAGUGGUUUCACAGUUUCCUGGCUUUCUUUAUCAUUUCAGUGCUGAUGAAGCCUCACGUUUCAUGAACAAUGCUAUAGUGCAUGCAUGAUUGAUGAAUAUAAAUUACAUCGGCAAAAUUUGAUUGCUUAACAAUGUACGACCAUAAAUGUGUGUUCUAAUCGUUCAGCAAAGCUUGAACGUGGGCUAGUUGGUAUGGCAUUAUAAUGUUGUCGCGCUAAGCAAAAUGCGCGGAGGACUAACAAAAAAAAAGGGAACAGGAGAGUUGAAAGUUUGCGCACCAUUUGUCCUGUCCCCUUUUUUGUUAGUUCUUCAUGCAUUUUGCUCAGCGCAACAACCUUAGAGUGCUAAUCAUCAAUGCUUCCGAGCUCUAUAGCUUCACUCAUGUGCUAUGCAGGAAUGUGGCCUCACAAAAACCAUCCUCGAUGAAAUGUGCACUAAGCUUCGUCGAAGCAUCCUUUUGACGUUU
rnacentral:lncRNA from 1 species